GUGCCUGUAAUCCCAGCACUUUGGGAGGCCGAGGCAGGAGAAUCACUUGAACCUGGGAGGCGCAGUUUACAGUAAGCGGAGAUCAGGCACUGCAACUCCAUCCUGGGCAACAGAGCGAGACUCUGUCUU